GGAGCAAUAUUCGCCUCUUUUUUGCAGAUAAUACAUAAUAAUAUCAAUGUGCUGCGAAAUUAGUAUAAACAUAUACAAUAAGCUACAGUGUAACCACACUUAUCUAUAAAACAACUACAGAUUAAAUACAAUUUGAAUUUAUUAAAAACUCUAACAUAUAAGUGCACAUUGGCUACACUAUAACUACGAAAAUAUAACAGUUAGUCCAAGUAACUCACAAAAUAUAAUUUAAUUGUAGUUAGUAUGGACUAUAGUGAACAAGUACUAUAUCUAUUAUUGACCUAUCAAACUACAAAACAACUACAGAUUAACUAGAAUUAUGCACUGUAUACAUUAAUUCACUAUACAGAGGAACGAACGAAACAUAGCACCUAACUUAAGGUCCCAAUAAUCAGCAACUUCAACCUACCGUUAAUAUUAUUAGCCACAAUCACAAGCUCUACAAUAUUACUACAAGGUAACUACAGUUGUGGUACACAGAGAUUCCAAGUCAGUCGAAAGUACCAAAAUUCCAGUUUGUACAUACAAUCAUCUUCACAUAUGAUACCUAAGUUUCAUAUAACGCAAAAUUUCACAGCUAAGAACUAAAUAUAGUAACAUAUAUAUGUUAUCCACAAUAUUACUAUAAUUACACAUCAUAACUGAAGAAUAAACUACAAUUACAUUACACAGCUGAAGACAAAAUAGAUAUUGUGAAUGAUUAUGUUUUUUAUACUUAUUGUGUUAUUGAUGACUUGUUCGGGGUGAGCAAGGGCAUAAAAUUAGUCAUUCUUAUCAAUCUUUUUGUCACGACCCUAAUUCACCAAUCGUGAACACGUCACGACGACACCUAGUCACGAUGACUAGGUAAGCUUAACAGUGCGGAAGUAAUAUAUAAUAUGGAAAUAUCAAUUAAAAUUAAAACAACUUAAGGAAAUGUAUAUAUCUUGCCGCUUGGCAUAUACACUUCAACACUUCAAAUUUAGAAAUAGAAAAUCCCAAAACCCGAAAUCUCACGGAAAUCACAGGCUAAUAGAAACGUAAUACACUGCUCUAACUCCAGAAUAUCUACACAAUCAAGGAAAGAUCAAAUACUACAGCUGGAAUAUGAUAGAGACUUCUGAUAUGCGGACGUAGUGACUAAGCAGCACUAUAAUUCUACAUUGUUCAAAUUAUAGCCAACAAACUAGCACGAGAAAAGUCUCAAAUUUGAUGCCCAUAUGUUCUUCAAUAAAGCCCAACUCAAAGAUCUCUAAUAAAGAUUAAAAUUAUAAGAAAUGUACUUUAAAGUCUUAUUUCCACAUCAACAACAACAACCCAGUAUAAUCCUAUUUAGUGGGAUCUGGGGAGGGUAGUGUGUACGCAUACCUUACCCCUACCCUGGGGUAGAGAGGUUGUUUCCAAAUAGACCUCCGGCAUUCUUCCCUCCAAGAACUUCCCACCUUACUCUUGGGGAGACUCAAACUCACAACCUCUCGGUUGUAAGUGGGGUUGCUUACCAUCAGAGCAAGCCCUUGUCCACAUCAGUUUAUCAAUUUACCAAGAAACUCUCAAAAUCACCCAAAAGCUAAAAUCUAAAGAACGUAUAGUCAAUUAAUCAUCUCAAUUUCAAGUUAUUUUUACCCACUUAAAUGGAACAUUGUUUCUACUAAAUAUGAAUCAAGCAUCAGGCCCAGCUCAGGCAAUUACAACAUAGUCUUUAGAAUUCUAAAUGCGAACAGAUGCCAUCCAAAUUACAAACACACAUGCAAAACAAUCUUCAGUGUCUAAGAUCAACAAGUAUAGGCAGCAACCCCUGCCGUAACAGUCACAGGAUCAAACGAAUUCACUUACAUUCAUAUUCAUAAACAAAGCAAAUUCAAAAUAAAACGGGGCUUUAACACCUACAAACAAACUGGUUUAGCCUUAGAGUUUUUAGACUCAUUUUAAUUCUCUGAACUCUUAUCAAUCAAACCAGCACCAAUAUCAGUAAAAUAAAAAAUAAAAAUGUGACCUGAAUAAACACGAACCUGUAUUAACUUUUGCUUUAAUAAACCUAUGAGCGAAGUUUGGCGACAAAAAUCGAAAUAUGCAGCAACUAAAUUUGAAAAGAACCACGAACGAAACUCAAACGACACCUCGAUUCAGCUUUCAAACCUGGUAUAAUCUCCAUGUUUAAGAAACUAAAAUAUGAGGAGAAAGAGAACUAAUUUUUUUCUGGAACUUAAACUAAGACAAAAAAUGGAAACUCCCACUGCCUCUCGAUAUUCCUCUACAAGUUUUGUCCUUCAGAAAAUCAUAUUGAUUUUUGUUUUUGUAUCAAUCAACUUGAACAAAAAUAGAUAUCAUAAAUUCCUCUCCUUAGAGCUCUAGAAAUUUUCUUUCAAAAUUUUCCUUUUUAGAAAUCUCAGACCUCAAAACCUCCUCCGAAUUUUGUUCUUCUCUUUUACUUCCAAAAUCCUCUAGUUAUCAGGCAAACAUCUGAUCAAUGAAGGGUUUGGAUCAAUUAAAACCAAUCACACGCUCCCCAUUCAUCCAGCAUAUGCCGUCUAGAGGCGUACAACACGUGAGAAGAGAGGUGAGGGUGAGAGAAUCUAUCAGAAACCAUUAGCACCUUUAUGAAGUGGUGGGAUGGGGGUAUGUGCAAGUGAACUCGCCCGAGUUUCAGGCGAGUUGGGACUGAUUCGGACGAAGGAGACGGGGGAACAGUAACUGGGCGUCGUUUUUUGGUCUCUAGGUUUAGGGUUUCUUU
rnacentral:lncRNA from 1 species